AUAGGGACAUUGUUUUCUCCAUUCAGAGUCCCCACAUCCCAUCACUGUGAUCAAAAAACCAAAACCAAAAACUAGGGAAAGGCACUGCAGGGCUGGAUGUGGCACGGCCUUUCUGCCUCAAAGACAC